rnacentral:rRNA from 1 species
AUUGAACGCUGGCGGCAUGCUUUACACAUGCAAGUCGAACGGUAACAGGCCUUCGGGUGCUGACGAGUGGCGAACGGGUGAGUAAUGCAUCGGAACGUACCCAGAGGUGGGGGAUAAAGCAGCGAAAGCUGUGCUAAUACCGCAUGUGAUCUGAGGAUGAAAGCGGGGGACCGAGCAGCAAUGUUUGGCCUCGCGCCUUUGGAGCGGCCGAUGUCGGAUUAGCUAGUUGGUGGGGUAAAGGCCUACCAAGGCGACGAUCCGUAGCUGGUCUGAGAGGACGACCAGCCACACUGGGACUGAGACACGGCCCAGACUCCUACGGGAGGCAGCAGUGGGGAAUUUUGGACAAUGGGCGCAAGCCUGAUCCAGCAAUGCCGCGUGCGGGAAGAAGGCCUUCGGGUUGUAAACCGCUUUUGGCAGGAACGAAACGGUGUCCGCUAAUACCGGGCGCUAAUGACGGUACCUGCAGAAUAAGCACCGGCUAACUACGU